ensembl:lncRNA novel transcript
GGACCCAGUCCCGGUGCCUGAGCUGCGCAAGAGGAAACGUGUGUGUGGGAAUGGGACAGAGGGGACGGGGUUGGCUCACUUGACACAGAAAGAACAUUUGGGGCAUGGCCCCUGGGUGUGUUCACUCCUCAAGGACAAUCCUGAUUUCCUGGUUUUUGUUUUUUUAAUAAAGGCAAUUUGUUAAGUGUAUAAUGAA